rnacentral:lncRNA from 1 species
GUGAAUGGGAUAUCUUGCCUUUUUAAAUUCCCAGUGAAUCUCAGCACAGCAAUCUCUAUGAUGAAUGAAAGACCCGAUUUUUUUUCCUCUCUCUGUGUAAACUGUAUCAAUUUUGUGCUUCUUUUACAGCUUCUGCUUUUCUAAGAAAGGAGAAAACAGCAGAGGACCAGAAGAACCAAACCUGUUGUGACAGCAUCCCAGGAAGCUGCCUGCUGGGGAGACACAGGAGUAGGGAAGACCUGUCUGACUGUGGGAUCUCCUGCUGUAGUUCUGCAGAAAGCCAUUUCAUGACCACUUGCCUGUCGUGUAUGCUGGAUUGAAAUGGUUUUUAUUUUGCACAGGCUGAAGAUGGUGAAUUGAAACAAACAUAAUAAGAGUGGCAGCCAAAAACAAGGACAUUUACAAAGGAUAGUUAUUGCUUAGAUUAUGAAUAUCAAAUUUCUAUUGACAUGAAAAAAUUACAUCUUACAGAGAUUUUAUAAGUGUUGUCAUUCACAAUGAAGUAUAACAGAAAAGAUUUUACUCUCAGCUGCCUGUAGAAUUAAGUCACAUGAGCCAUUCUUCAGAGAAAUGUGAAGCUGAAACUUAGAAGGAUGCAAAUUUCUAUGUAAAAAUAGUGUCAUUCCCCUUCCUUGAAUUUGGUUCAUGGAGAAUUGCUAUAUAGGAAAGACCAGUGGGGAAUGUAAAGUUCUCUGGGGGCAGAAAGAGUUUCCAGUUCCCCACUCACUUGUUCAGCUUCAUUCGAUGAAGAAUGUCCCUGCCAGAAUACUCUGUAAGUGCCAGAAGAACCACCAUGCAAAGUUGUUUUCUCACUAAUGUAUUUUGAUUAAUUGAAAAUUCAGUCUCCAAGAAAACAACUACAUUUUGUAGAAGACAAAAAAGGGUUGAUCAGUACCUUCCUGACAUAUUCACUGUAUUCUCUUUUGAACUUCAUGUUGCUUGGAAUGGAGCACUCAAGCUUCUUAAAUGGAUUUGUUUUUACAAAAACAAACAAACAAACAAAAACCAAACCAAAACAAAACAAAAAGCUAACAUUCCUGUGCUUAUGUAUGUUUCAGAAAGAAAUGGCCUGAACACACACUGCCACACACACUGCGUUGCUAUUGUAUAG